AUGCGAGUCAUUGUAGCAAUACAAGGCAGACGGCUCAGUAACGCGUAGUCAACCUAACCUAUGGACGGGAAUAACCUCGGGAAACUGAGAAUAAUGCCCGAUAGAACACUAUACCUGGAAUGGUUUGUGUUCCAAAUGAUUUAUCGCCGUAGGAUGGGACUGCGGCCUAUCAGUUUGUUGGUGAGGUAAUGGCCCACCAAGACUAUUACAGGUACGGGCUCUGAGAGGAGUAGCCCGGAGAUGGGUACUGAGACACGGACCCAGGCCCUAUGGGGCGCAGCAGGCGAGAAAACUUUGCAAUGUGCGAAAGCACGACAAGGUUAAUCCGAGUGAUUUGUGCUAAACGAAUCUUUUGUUAGUCCUAGAACCACUAACGAAUAAGGGGUGGGCAAGUUCUGGUGUCAGCCGCCGCGGUAAAACCAGCACCUCAAGUGGUCAGGAUGAUUAUUGGGCCUAAAGCAUCCGUAGCCGGCUCUGUAAGUUUUCGGUUAAAUCUGUACGCUUAACGUACAGGCUGCCGGGAAUACUGCAGAGCUAGGGAGUGGGAGAGGUAGACGGUACUCGGUAGGAAGGGGUAAAAUCCUUUGAUCUAUUGAUGACCACCUGUGGCGAAGGCGGUCUACCAGAACACGUCCGACGGUGAGGGAUGAAAGCUGGGGGAGCAAACCGGAUUAGAUACCCGGGUAGUCCCAGCUGUAAACUAUGCAAACUCAGUGAUGCAUUGACUUGUGGUCAAUGCAGUGCUGCAGGGAAGCCGUUAAGUUUGCCGCCUGGGAAGUACGUACGCAAGUAUGAAACUUAAAGGAAUUGGCGGGGGAGCACCACAAGGGGUUAAGCCUGCGGUUCAAUUGGAUUCAACGCCGGAA
rnacentral:rRNA from 1 species